UACAGAGGGUGCAAGCGUUAAUCGGAAUUACUGGGCGUAAAGCGCACGUAGGUGGCUUGAUAAGUUGGGUGUGAAAUCCCCGAGCUUAACUUGGGAAUUGCAUUCAAGACUGUCUUGCUAGAGUGUGGAAGAGGGAAGCGGAAUUCCAGGUGUAGCGGUGAAAUGCGUAGAUAUCAGGAGGAACACCAAUAGCGAAGGCAGCUCGCUGGGACGUUACUGACACUGAGGCGCGAAAGCGUGGGGAGCGAACAGG
rnacentral:rRNA from 1 species